rnacentral:rRNA from 1 species
UACGUAGGGUGCAAGCGUUGUCCGGAAUUAUUGGGCGUAAAGAGCUCGUAGGCGGUUUGUCGCGUCUGCUGUGAAAAUCCGAGGCUCAACCUCGGACUUGCAGUGGGUACGGGCAGACUAGAGUGUGGUAGGGGAGACUGGAAUUCCUGGUGUAGCGGUGGAAGUGACGCAGAUAUCAGGAGAAACACCGAUGGCGAAGGCAGGUCUCUGGGCCAUUACUGACACUGAGAAGCGAAAGCAUGGGGAGCGAACAGG